GCCACUUAGGAAGAUCUUUUGCUUUUACAGUUGGUAGCAUCUGUUUUUAAAGUAUGAGUAAAGAUCAACCCUUUAAAAAUGGUUUCUGAUUCUGCUAGCACUAGGUGAACAGCUUCAAAAGUAGUCCCUGUUAACCCACUAUAACAAAGUUAUAUUGGAAAAUCUUUAUUUUUCCUUAAGUUAAAGGAACAAUCCAAGGAUGCAUGACUUUCUAGGCAAUUGGAUGGCAUAAGGAGAAGACCAGGCUGAGGAGGUGAUGUUUGAAACAACGCCUGGCACCUAAUCGGGGCUCAGGAGCUAUUUUUUGAGCAAAUGGUGAAGAAGGUGGUGAUUGGGAUUUGCCUGAAGUCUUCACUGUGGCUUACAUAAAAAGAGGAAUAUAAUUACACAGCCUACUCGGUCUAUUUAGAUAACAGGAACGUAACUAGCUAUGCCUAGGGAAAAGGAGGAAAGAAAGGAAACAUCGAGGCAGACGUCUUCAGCUACUUUCUAAUCUCAGGACAGCCAGGCAACGUGAUGAAGGAGAGAGGGUCUACCUUCCUACAAUCUUCCCUUGCCCCAGUCCUCAAUGUCCUGGGCUUCUGUAGAUGAAUGAGAGAGUUGGGAUAGGGAAGAACAGUCUAGCAAGCAGACUAGCUUGGUCCAAUUUCUUGGGGUUUUCCCAAGGACUUUCAGUGGUGGUAAUGGAAGAGGAGUCCAAAUUCUCUCCAGAAGGAGAGAAUGAAAGGGCCCCAGGAGGCAUCAGCUGCACUCAAAUGUCAUGAGGUCAGCCCUCUGCCCACCCAAACAGCCCCUUGCGCAGGGGCCUCUUGCUCAGAGCUGGUAUUGAGUUCUCCUCUUUAAGUGUCUGCACAACCAGGAUGGUUGGGGAUGGGGCUUUGGAUGAACUCCCUAGGCUGGGGGCAGAUGGAAGAAGAGACUGCCCAGGCCUGAUACUUAGGGACACAGGGACAUAGGCUGGGAGUAGAGCCAGAGAAGAGUUGAGCAGGGAGUAUCAAGCAGGAGAGAAAUAGGAUUCCAUAUUGUUGGCACUGUACUCUAUCACUGAAAGAGGAACACUUCUCCCACCACCCCCUCCCCCUAAAAUGGAGUCCACUUAUGGGAACUCUGGCUUGUCCUCUGGGAAGAAAAGAUGACCCCAGGGGAAAACUCUAUUAGCAAGAGAUAGGAUCCAAAAAGGAGGGGCCCUGGGGUAGGAUCUCUGAUGGUGGGGUCAGCAGCUGAAAAAGGUUCCAGUGGUCCCAAAGGGCAGGGUUUGGUGUGGCUGUCUAAGUCCUUUGAGAACCGGGGAUGGCGGUUAGAUGGCACAGGAGUUGGGGGUGGCUGGGGGGCUGCAGCACUGCCCUCUGCCAUGGGCCAAACUCUGCCUGACAUGGUUGAUAGUAGAAGAGAUAUGUGUGCUGAGAGAAAAUCUGACCCAGGUGGACUCCUGGUUAAGCCAAGAGAAGCAGCUUGGCCAAGGGCUGCCGAAGCCCUCAGGAAAAGUCUAUAGGCAGAAGUCAAGGCGAUGGAACCUGGUUGCAGGGGGUUGUGCAUGUGUGUGGGUUGUAGCCUGAAGUAGCAUUUAC
rnacentral:lncRNA from 1 species